ACGACUACCUGCCGGGUUAUAAAGCACCAGCAAGCAUGUCCUGAGGCUGAAGCAGAGUUCAUACAAGAUGAUUUUGUUGUGCAAGCUUUGGUUUCAAGAGCUGUGGAAUUCCUCCUCAAAGGGCAGAAGCAAUAGUUUGUGCCCCUUUGACGCACACUUCAACCAUUAUCUAAUUUUCCACCUCAAUAGAUUGCUGUUAGUAGACUGAUCUCUGGUGAUCAACAGGCGCCAUCUACAGGAGGAAAACCGGCUCGGCCUAUGGGCAAGACAUCUUCAUCUCGUAAAGGUUGCUCAACGGACUCAAAGUGAUGAUGCCCUUCAAAUUGAGUGAAACUAAAAUGCCAGGCCCCCUGCUACUUCUGCUGUGCUGGAGCUAUGUCUUGAAAGCUACACACGCAUCAGUUAUAACCCAGACACCUGGAGUGGUGAUGGUGAAAGCUGGUGAUACAGUGACCUUGAAAUGCCAUUUGAGUGAGAUUACCACCUACUGCUUCUCUGUGAGUUGGAUAAAAGUGGACCCCAGGACUGGAACACACAGCAAGAGUACACUCUUAACGGUUGAUAACAUUUCAACGGACCAGGAACAGGACAACCUAUGUUCCGUUACAAUCACCAAUGCAAAUGUGAGCGACUCUGGCAUGUACUACUGUUUGGCUGUUCACUCCAAAACGGUGUACUCUGGCAAUGGUUCUAAGGUUAUUAUUUUGACAGAGAGAGAAAGGGUAGAGAACAGCACUAAAGCCCCAACCAUCCAAAUCGUCUCUUCGCCAGAGGUUGACCGCAUCUUCAUCCCUCUGCUGUGUUUGGUGUUGGAAGUGGUCCCGUCUCAGGUCCGUGUGUUCUGGCUCAUAGACGGGAGAGAAGAGAGUGGACUCACUGACUCCACCUGGACAGACAACAGUGAUUCAGCCACAGAGUUCACUAGGAACCAGAUUCUUGUCCAGGCACAGGAGUGGGACAGACGAGCAGAGUUUACAUGUGUGGUGGAGUUUGAGGGGAAAACUAUCACCAAAACACUGCUGCAGCAAAAUGAUUCCAAUGCCAUGUGCACAAUGUUGAUGUAUGGGGCCUCUGCAGCUGCUCUCCUCACCAUAAUAGUUGCUGUCACUAUUGCUGUGUGUCUGCACCGUGGGCAUCCUGUGGUUAUUGAUGCAGAUACAAGACAAAGAGGCAUAGGCACUGAGAACAAACGGGAUCAAUCUGGGAGACGGGGAGAAGCAAGAAGGCCAGUUAGAUCAUCGUUCUCGGAGGUCCAGUAUGCGACUUUGGACCAUAUCAAUUUUGGGAGACGCACAAAUACAGUUCUCCAAUCAGAUUUUGACAAAGAAAUUGCAUAGAAAUUCCUUGUAUUUUGUCAUGAUGUAGAUGCUUAUGAACUGCCACUGAAAACAUUUCAGAUGAUUAUUUAUGUAUUUGUGUAUAAAGUAAGAGCCGGUGUCCGCAAUUGCAAAGUACUUUCUUUUAUAUUGGAAUUCAACUGUGGAGUAGUCUCCAAUUAGUCAUUAAGAUGUCCCAGUCCAGAAAGGCUUUCAGAGGUCAGGUUAGAUCCCUUCCGUCAGAAAAAGUGCACAGGUCUAAAUAGGAAAAUUACUGAAUAUUCUUGAAUUUUGUAUGGAUUGUGUAUUUAUUAUGGUGUAGGCUAGUUAGGGACUUAUCAUAGGCCCAUGUCACAGGAGGUUGGUGGCACCUUAAUUGGGGAGGAUGGCUGGAGUGGAAUAGUAUGAAAUCCAUCAAACACAUGGAUUGAUGCCAAUCCAUUUGCUUUGUUCCACACAUUAUUAUCAGCCGUUCUCCCCUCAGCAGCCUCCACUGGCCCAUGUAUUUCCAUGGAUCUUCUUGUGUUGUGUCCUGUUUUUGUCCUACACAGAAGACCACAUUGGAAAUAAGUGUUCUUACACUAUUGUGUGUCAUCCUCUGGGAUUCUUUAUAUUUUUACAACUGUAAGAAUUGUAUUAUCCAAAAUCAAAUCAAUCAAUCAAUAUGGCUUGUAAAUGAAUGUCUUUUUUUUUCAAUUUCAUUUUAUCACCUAUUUUCUAAUUUACCAUUUCCCUGGAACCCUUAGGGCCAAAAAUGCCUCUGUUUUUGAACAGAUAUCUAAAACAUAUGUUUAAAAUCUUUGCUUGAAUGCAACAACAAAAAAAUGUUAAAAUUCUCAAUCUCAAGCGCACUUUGACAAAGUGUACGUCUUAAUUUCUCUGACCAAAAUGAGAAGGCUCCUGCACAGACUGCAGAUUGUGUAACAUGAGAAAGUGUCACAGGUAACAUGUGUAGGACUGUAGCCUUCGGAACAGAAGCUGACCACCGUAGUUUAAGCUUUAGCUGCAUAUCUCUCCCGCUCUCUUUCUCUGCGAGGAGUGGUUUUUCUGAGCAUGAUAUGCUUUUGGACAGACACCGCUUUGCUUAUAACAAACCACUAGCAGAUUCUAUAUUCAGACUUUUUCACCCAAUAGUGCAAUAUACUAGAUAGCAUACCAUGAAAGUAAAAAGAUUAUCAGCUCCCAUCCGAUCACCUAACCUCAGCAGCCUUCACGAAAUGAAUGAAACUCAGGCAAUAGAUGGAAUGUGCUGUUAUUAUUGUAACAGUUCAUUUUCUACAACAACAGUAUUUUAAAGGAUUUGAAAAUAGUUAUGCUCCCACUUAGUUCUGAAUGGGAAAUAAAGCAGUCUGGCCGAUGAGUGACAAGGAUCUGCAUUCCAUCCAAUUCACACAUGAUUUAAUAUAAGAUUUAGUAGUUUUCAAUUAAGUGUAGCUGGAUUCAGUCAUGAUGAAAUCAAGUAAGUAAUGGCAAGACAUAAUAAAAGUGUUACAAUGAAAUGUUAACGUACUCUUAAUACAAAGGACAGUAGUCGUUUUUGGUAAGUAAAAAGUUAUGACUUUAGGUGAACUGAAAACCCCCCACAAUUAUACACUUCUACAGUAUGAUACAACAUGAGGCAAUAUAGGCCCGUUCUACUUUUAAUGUUGAUACAGAUAACUUGGUUAACGAAGUUUCCUACCUAAUGUGUUUGUAUAGUUAACUCCAGCCUACCUGAUGUUAGAAUAGGAAGGAGAAAAACUACAGACUGAGUGACAGGACAGGUAGAUUUGAAGUAAACACUCACAUCUACUGGAUGUUUGGAGACAGUGACACAGGAUGAGAAAGAAGAGCAUUUCAUCAUGACAGUACUUGAAGGAUAGAUAGCACUUUAUGGAAGCACUAGGCUCCUCUAACACAUGUUUUAUGCAUUUUGCAUUUAACAUCUUCCUAGUAGGUAUGAAGCACUCCGAAUCUCUCAAAGCACUUUUAUUCUGAAUGUUGGUUUACUGCAGUUUUCACAAUGAAAGCCCUCCUCCUUUCUUUAGUUUGGGGAUUUUCUGUUACUUUUCUCAAGUUAGCCUGAAUAAAGAACGAAUGAAC